ACCCCCUGGCAAUGGGCAAAGAAACACAUUAUCGGUGGUGGUGUUCUUACAUCAGGCAGGGACAGAGCAGGUGGCAGAACUUUGUUCAUCCUCGUUUGAUGCUGGUUUGAUGGUCAAAGUUGUCCUAUGCCUAGGACUCAAAU